AACGAACGCUGGCGGCAGGCCUAACACAUGCAAGUCGAGCGGACCCUUCGGGGUUAGCGGCGGACGGGUGAGUAACGCGUGGGAAUAUGCCCUUCUCUACGGAAUAGUCCUGGGAAACUGGGGGUAAUACCGUAUACGCCCUUUGGGGGAAAGAUUUAUCGGGGAAGGAUUAGCCCGCGUUGGAUUAGGUAGUUGGUGGGGUAAUGGCCUACCAAGCCGACGAUCCAUAGCUGGUUUGAGAGGAUGAUCAGCCACACUGGGACUGAGACACGGCCCAGACUCCUACGGGAGGCAGCAGUGGGGAAUCUUAGACAAUGGGGGCAACCCUGAUCUAGCCAUGCCGCGUAAGUGAUGAAGGCCUUAGGGUUGUAAAGCUCUUUCAGCUGGGAAGAUAAUGACGGUACCAGCAGAAGAAGCCCCGGCUAACUCCGUG
rnacentral:rRNA from 1 species